UGGGGAAUAUUGCACAAUGGGCGCAAGCCUGAUGCAGCCAUGCCGCGUGUAUGAAGAAGGCCUUCGGGUUGUAAAGUACUUUCAGCGAGGAGGAAGGCGUUGUGGUUAAUAACCGCAGCGAUUGACGUUACUCGCAGAAGAAGCACCGACUAACUCCGUGCCAGCAGCCGCGGUAAUACGGAGGGUGCAAGCGUUAAUCGGAAUUACUGGGCGUAAAGCGCACGCAGGCGGUCUGUCAAGUCGGAUGUGAAAUCCCCGGGCUCAACCUGGGAACUGCAUCCGAAACUGGCAGGCUAGAGUCUUGUAGAGGGGGGUAGAAUUCCAGGUGUAGCGGUGAAAUGCGUAGAGAUCUGGAGGAAUACCGGUGGCGAAGGCGGCCCCCUGGACAAAGACUGACGCUCAGGUGCGAAAGCGUGGGGAGCAAACA
rnacentral:rRNA from 1 species